rnacentral:rRNA from 1 species
GCCCUUGAGUUUGAUCAUGGCUCAGAUUGAACGCUGGCGGCAUGCCUUACACAUGCAAGUCGAACGGCAGCACGGGGGCAACCCUGGUGGCGAGUGGCGAACGGGUGAGUAAUAUAUCGGAACGUGCCCUGGAGUGGGGGAUAACUAGUCGAAAGACUAGCUAAUACCGCAUACGAUCUACGGAUGAAAGUGGGGGAUCGCAAGACCUCAUGCUCGUGGAGCGGCCGAUAUCUGAUUAGCUAGUUGGUGGGGUAAAAGCCUACCAAGGCAUCGAUCAGUAGCUGGUCUGAGAGGACGACCAGCCACACUGGGACUGAGACACGGCCCAGACUCCUACGGGAGGCAGCAGUGGGGAAUUUUGGACAAUGGGGGCAACCCUGAUCCAGCAAUGCCGCGUGAGUGAAGAAGGCCUUCGGGUU